GAUGAAGAACGCAGCGAAAUGCGAUACGUAAUGUGAAUUGCAGAUUUCAGUGAAUCAUCGAAUCUUUGAACGCACAUUGCGCCCCCUGGUAUUCCGGGGGGCAUGCCUGUUCGAGCGUCAUUACAACCCUCAAGCUCUGCUUGGUAUUGGGCCCCGCCAGUUCUGGCGGGCCCUAAAGUCAGUGGCGGUGCCUUCCGGCUCCGAGCGUAGUAAUUCUUCUCGCUCUGGAGACCCGGUUGUGUGCUUGCCAACAACCCCCAAUUUUUUAAGGUUGACCUCGGAUCAGGUAGGGAUACCCGCUGAACUUAAGCAUAUCAAUAAGCGGAGGA
rnacentral:misc_RNA from 1 species